UCCCACGUUAGUGACUUUGGUUUUGUCAAAAUCAAAACCCUUGAUCAAAUUCAAAUUUCUAACCUACAAACCAAGAACUUUCAAGUUUUUGGAAAAGUUACGAUGAGAAAAGUUUUUGCACAAUGUUGGCCGUUAUCACCACUUUAAAGGCGGCAAUUACGUACACGUUUUACAUCAGUGUGAAAACGGGGCAAUUUAUUGUCACAAGUUUGGCUUUUCUUCUGACGACGGCCGGAUCGUUCAUAAACAAGCUAUUUUGUCUGUUGACGAAAGUGUGGUCUACGUUUUUGAAUGGCUGGCUGAAAAACUCAACUAUUGCCAACAACUAACUGGUGUCUUAAAAUGGCUUUCUGGAGUUUGCACUGCUCCUAUAAAUGGAAUACUCGCAAUAGUGAGCGCAGUUAAACACAUUUUUGUCAUUAUGAAGCAAGUUGUUAUACUGUUUGGUGACGGAGUGUGGUUUAUCAUAGUCUUUGUACCAAAAUCUGUACUGUCUCUGGGGCCUCUGACGUACAAUUACUUGAAAAGUUUGUGUGUUUACAUCUUAGACAGCAUUUGUAACAAUGUUACGCUAGUUUAUAAGUUAAUUUUAAACUCAAUUUACAGUUGUUACCACUUUGUAACAGACGUACCGCUAGAAUCGCUCAUAGGUUUGAUAGUCGGGUUAUGUUUCUUGUACAUUUUUUCCCAGUUCUAUUCUGUCCUAUUCUCCUAUUUCAGAAACAUAGUGUCUUCGUUUUUUACCGCUUUAAGACUGAAGUACAAUCAUGUGAAAGUGGCAACUUUACGUUUCUUGUCGCGUAUUGCUUUAAAACAUAGUUCUAGACAAGUAAUAGAAUGUAAACCACUGAGUACAAAUAAUGAAGACGAAAAAAACGAGGGUUAUUGUGUAGUCUGUCAGGAUAACUCUAAAUGUGUGUUAGUUUUGCCUUGUCGACACUUAUGUUUGUGUGACGAUUGUACCCCCAGACUGAUGCGCUACAGUGGGCAGUGCCCCAUCUGCAGGAAACGCAUCCGCUCCUCAAUGAAAGUUUACACAUAGUGGAAAAUAAUUUAGUCUUGUUUUAGAGAACUGAUUGUUUUGAAUGAUUAAAUAAAUUUUGUAAUUUGGGAAA